UCCAGACUGGAAACCUUCAUUCGUGGCAGCAGACGGACACGAGGUGGAGGCUGAAAGGAGACUGACCACACACGACAACCUUCCAUUAAUGAAGGCUCUCUAUGACUCACCUGCAGACUCACCUGCAGACUCACCUGCAGACUCACCUGCAGACUAAACCUGCAGACUCACCUGCAGACUCACCUGAGCUCACCAGAAGAUGCAGCCGCCCCUCUAUGACCCUCCUAACCGGAAAACACAAAACCUGCAGAACCAGUACGGCAAAUGUGUGCAUUUGUGUUUAUUUUAAAUGUUAAAAUCUCCGUAACAAUCCGUGUUUACUGUUUGGGAUUUCCAAACUCUGAUUGUUUACAUGUAAACGACGCCGUACACAGCGCCUGGACGUGAGGGGUCAAAGGUUCCUCUGGGGUCAUUUCUGGUCACCAUGCUGCAAACGUUUGAACCGCAAACAUCUGAGCUCUUUUUAGACUGUAAACGGGUGUUGACAAUAACAUCCCUGUUGCCAUGGAGACCAACUGCAGAGAUGGAAUUCAGGACAAAAAAAAUCGGAUUUCUAAACAAAAACAUCAUGACUCAAACAGCAGGAGCAUAACAGAGAACGCAGUCAGGACCGAACUUCAUCAGCUACUGACGGCGUCAGAGAUCCUUGACCUGAAGUCCGACCAGCUGCCGUGAGAUGACGGCGCGCUGCAGGAGCCCGUUCCCCUCACAGCUUCUGCCGUAAACCUCCCACAUGAUAUGACCAGAACAGAUGCGCGUCAUGAAUCACAGGUCCAGAACCGCCCGGCUCUCUGAUGCGUUCUGCAGCCGCUCUGUCCCCCUCGCGGGCCGGACCACACGGCGGCGCCGGCCUCGCCUGAACCCAGCUCGUGAACGCAUCGACCCCACCUGAGACCAAACGCAGCGGCGAGCCAAAACAUAUCAAAGCAUAACUGGAGGCGGGCCCAGCUGAAAUUAGAAAAGCAUGGCGGCUCACACAUGUUUCAGAGCACCAGCAGACUUCUAAUUGAUGCUGAACCGUCAGUUCUCCAUAAAGGUUUGGAUGAAACGUCUGUGGAGACGGCGUCCUCAGCCGCCAUGAUAACCUCAACGCUCCAAAGGUCAUGUGACCAUAACGGUCCUCACACGUUCACGUCCCGAAAGAGUCUGACCCGAAACAUCAGAACAAGCCGUCAACAGUCCCUCCAUCCCGACGCUUCCCAUGAUGCUUUGAGACUCUAACCACGGCGAGGUUUUUAAUGUUCAUUUGUAUCUAAAGUGCUUCAGUUCUGCUUUAAAUGAAUGUGUCUCAUCUUCAUGUCGUCGCUCAGCAGAAAACCUGCAGUCAACGCGCUGAAACUCUUCUGGGGUAAACCUGCUCCCCUCCAGGUCGUGUCUCACCUGUUUCACCUUCAGAUCAGCUGAUCUUGUUGCUUCAAUGACGUCCACUUGACUUCAGUCUGUUUCUGAGGCUGUUGAGGUUUAGUCUGCUGGGAUUCAGUCUUUGGUUCUGCUGCUCUGUUUUUGUUCGUUUCUUUCUCCUCGAUCGGUCUUUGUGUCGGUUUAUCUGUUUGUAUUUGAGUCAACAAAUCUGAGGAUGUUUGUUCUGGAAUGAAGAAAAAUGAACCAAAUGUUUUCAGAGUUUAACCACUAAUAAGAGCAGAAAUCUGUUUACAGAGCGACUGAUCUAAAAGCAGAAAUAAAAUGAUUCCAUUGAAAUAUGAAAAAAACCCUAAAGAUGUAAAAUACAUUUUUAAAAGUUCAUCUUCUGACUUUAAAGUUUUUAUGUGAACAAAAACAUCAAAUCUUUUCAUUUUUCCAGCUGCUUUACCAAAAGUCCUUAAGAAUUCCUGUAAACACUUGGUGGUGUAAUCUGGAUCAUUAGAAGUCAGUCAUUUGUUGGUUUCAUAGAGUUACUUUUCUACACAAAUCUCUGUUCUGAUAAAGUUCACACAAAAGAAUUCACAUUCUUUCUCAAAAAAUACAACCUGGAUCUUCUUUUAUCUGUGGACACUUGUGUGAAGAAAAAGAAUCACUAAAUCUACAGAUUUCUCUGCAUGGAAUCUCUCCGGUUUA